GUAUCGGAACGUGCCUAGUAGCGGGGGAUAACUACGCGAAAGCGUAGCUAAUACCGCAUACGCCCUACGGGGGAAAGCAGGGGAUCGCAAGACCUUGCACUAUUAGAGCGGCCGAUAUCGGAUUAGCUAGUUGGUGGGGUAACGGCUCACCAAGGCGACGAUCCGUAGCUGGUUUGAGAGGACGACCAGCCACACUGGGACUGAGACACGGCCCAGACUCCUACGGGAGGCAGCAGUGGGGAAUUUUGGACAAUGGGGGAAACCCUGAUCCAGCCAUCCCGCGUGUGCGAUGAAGGCCUUCGGGUUGUAAAGCACUUUUGGCAGGAAAGAAACGUCAUGGGCUAAUACCCCGUGAAACUGACGGUACCUGCAGAAUAAGCACCGGCUAACUACGUGCCAGCAGCCGCGGUAAUACGUAGGGUGCAAGCGUUAAUCGGAAUUACUGGGCGUAAAGCGUGCGCAGGCGGUUCGGAAAGAAAGAUGUGAAAUCCCAGAGCUUAACUUUGGAACUGCAUUUUUAACUACCGAGCUAGAGUGUGUCAGAGGGAGGUGGAAUUCCGCGUGUAGCAGUGAAAUGCGUAGAUAUGCGGAGGAACACCGAUGGCGAAGGCAGCCUCCUGGGAUAACACUGACGCUCAUGCAC
rnacentral:rRNA from 1 species